UUGAACUGAACUGAAUUCGAUAAGAAGCAUGGCGUGCACCACAAAACUGGUUUCCCCCUGCUGCAGAUGCGAUGAUACCUGAUGGUGCAAUCACAUCAAGUUUGCUGAUGACACAUCAUUUUGCCCUUAUCAGAUUGUAUAAAAACAUCUAAACAGCCAACAAGGAUGUAAAUAUUUCACUGCCGUAUAACGACAAGGAUCAGGGAGGUUGCACAGAAUCACUCGUCCAGUUCAGACUCACCUCUACAGGAACACUGGAGUUAACGUGCCAAGAGGGUAUUGUAGAUUAACAACAAACCUCAAAAAUGUGCUUAGGAGAUUUGGAAAAUAUUACUAAAAUCAUUACACAUAAUUCAACCACAUUACCGGGUAUGGAAUUACCUUUGUGCCAAUUAAAAUCGGGUGGCAUGUUGGUCUUUGUUAUCUCGGACCUUUACGCUGCCAUUAUUAUACUGGGUCUCUUUGGAAAUGGACGUCAGUCAACUCCAUUUGGUUUCUCAACUUGGUGAUUGCAGAAUUCAUCUCUAUCAUUGCUGCUCCAAUCCUACACAUCAUCCCUUACUUUGGAGGACAUCACAUCAACGACGCCGAUUUGCAGGGUUCUCCGCUUUGUGUUGAGGCUAAAUAUGUUUGCAAGCAUUUUUUAUUUUAUUUUUUUCUGACCGUUAUCAGUCUGGACUGAUGGCUGUGCACAUGGGUGAUUGUGUGGGUUAAAAAUAAAAGAACUCUAGUCAAAGCCAGGAUCAUCUGUAUGCUUGUGUGGAUUUUCACAUUGGUGGCAGUCUUCCUUUUGCCUUAAUAACCCUUAAGGUUAAUUUGAACAGAAAGCUCCUGAAGCUUCUGGUCAUAUUUGCGUUUAUGGUGGGACUCCUCAACCUCUUUGUGAUCAUUGCAUCUUCAUAUUUAGCUAUUGCAGGACGAGUCAAACAGCUUACAAGGAAAAAGCAGCUAAGGGCUUUUCGGGUCAUUACUGUAAUCCUGACCUUUUUUGUAUGCUGGCUUCCAUUGCAUGUUUGUCACAUUUAUAUGGCAAUUGCAACUGAGAGUAAGUGGUUUGAAAGUGUUUCAUUAGUAUUUUUUGCCUGUACACAAUAGCUGAAUGCCUGAUUAUGAUAAACAGCAGUCUGUAUCCCAUUCUCUGUAUGUUCAUGUGUGAGGAAUAUAAGCAAAAGGGUUAAACAGUCCCUGCUGCUGGUUCUGGAAACAGCAUUCAGUGAAGAUCAAUCGACAUCCAAGUCAAAACAUUUUGCCUGAUCUUUAUUCAAAAUAAAAAUGUCAAAAAGCUUAAAUAGGA